rnacentral:rRNA from 1 species
CCUACGGGAGGCAGCAGUGAGGGAUAUUGGACAAUGGCGGGAAGGCUGAAGCAGCCAUGCCGCGUGGGUGUCAGAGCGCUAUGGGCGGUAAACUUCUAUUGUGCGGGAGCAAUAAUGGUCACGUGUGGCUAGAAGAGAGUAGCGUACGAAUAAGCAUCGGCUGAAUCAAUGCGAGCAGGCGCGGUAAUACGGGGGGUGCCAGCGUUAUAAGGAUUUGUGGGGGUUAAAGGGUGCGUAGGCUGGGAGGUAAGUCAGCGGGUAAAGGCCCGCGCUCGACGGGGGGGAGUGCUAUUGAUACUGGCCUGCUGGAAUGCGGAGGCGGUGGGAGGAAUGUGUGGUGUAGCGGUGAAAUGCAUAGAUAUCACACAGAACACCGAUUGCGAAGGCAUCUCACGAAUCCGCGAUUGACGCUGAUGCACGAAAGCGUGGGUAUCAAACAGGAUUAGAUACCCGUGUAGUC